GGCGUAGCUCAGCUGGUAGAGCAGCUGAUUUGUAAUCAGCAGGUCGUAGGUUCAAGUCCUAUUGCC
rnacentral:tRNA from 1 species